ACGCUCGACACCUAGGAGGCAGCAGUGGGGAAUAUUGCACAAUGGGGGAAACCCUGAUGCAGCAACGCCGCGUGGAGGAAGACGGUUUUCGGAUUGUAAACUUCUGUUCUUAGUGAAGAUAGUGACGGUAGCUAAGGAGCAAGCCACGGCUAACUACGUGCCAACAGCCGCGGUAAUCUGAGCGGGCUGGCAAGGC
rnacentral:rRNA from 1 species